rnacentral:pre_miRNA from 1 species
UUAGUAUUCCCUCCGUCCUAAAAUUCUUGUCUUAGAUUUGUUUAGAUACAUAGUAUUUAGAUACAUUCGUUUCUAGACAAAGUUAAGACAAGAAUUUUAGGACGGAGGAAUUAUUUU